rnacentral:rRNA from 1 species
CAGCAGCCGCGGGAAAACGAAGGGGGCUAGCGUUGCUCGGAAUGACUGGGCGUAAAGGGCGCGUAGGCGGUUUAUACAGUCAGGUGUGAAAUUCCUGGGCUCAACCUGGGGACUGCAUUUGAUACGUAUGGACUUGAGUGGAGAAGAGGGUCGUGGAAUUUCCAGUGUAGAGGUGAAAUUCGUAGAUAUUGGAAAGAACACCGGUGGCGAAGGCGGCGACCUGGUCUUUAACUGACGCUGAGGCGCGAAAGCGUGGGGAGCAAACAGGAUUAGAUACCCCAGUAGUCCCUGUCUCUUAUAC